UGGGGAAUCUUGCGCAAUGGGCGAAAGCCUGACGCAGCGACGCCGCGUGCGGGAAGAAGGCCUUCGGGUUGUAAACCGCUUUCAGGAGGGAAGAAGCGAAAGUGACGGUACCUCCAGAAGAAGCCCCGGCCAACUACGUGCCAGCAGCCGCGGUAAUACGUAGGGGGCGAGCGUUGUCCGGAAUUAUUGGGCGUAAAGAGCGUGUAGGCGGCUUGGUAAGUCUGUCGUGAAAUGCUGGGGCUCAACCCUGGACGUGCGAUGGAUACUGCUAGGCUAGAGGAUGGUAGAGGCGAGUGGAAUUCCCGGUGUAGCGGUGAAAUGCGCAGAUAUCGGGAGGAACACCAGUAGCGAAGGCGGCUCGCUGGGCCAUUCCUGACGCUGAGACGCGAAAGCGUGGGGAGCAAACAGGAUUAGAUACCCCGGUAGUCC
rnacentral:rRNA from 1 species